UGAAUACGAGAUGCUACGGCGUCGAAGCAGUCUAUGUCAUACUUCCAAGAAAAGCUUGCACUGUCAUAAACAAAUAAUGCCUGUACCAUAACCGACACAGGUGGGUAGGUAGAGUAUACUAAGGGGCGCGAGAUAACUCUCUCUAAGGAACUCGGCAAAAUGACUCCGUAACUUCGGGAGAAGGAGUGCCUUAUUUAUAAGGUUGCAAUAACAAGACCCAAGCAACUGUUUAUCAAAAACACAGGUCUCCGCUAAGUCGUAAGACGAUGUAUGGGGGCUGACGCCUGCCCAGUGCCAGAAGGUUAAAGAAGUUGGUUAGCAUUAGCGAAGCUGAUGGCUGAAGCCCUGGUGAACGGCGGCCGUAACAAUAACGGUCCUAAGGUAGCGAAAUUCCUUGUCGGGUAAGUUCCGACCCGCACGAAAGGCGUAAUGAUUUGGGUACUGUCUCAGAGAGGGACUCGGUGAAAUAGACUUGUCUGUGAAGAUGCGGACUACCUGCACCUGGACAGAAAGACCCUAUGAAGCUUACUGUAACCUGAAAUUGAAAUUGGACUUUAUUUGCGCAGUAUGGGUGGGAGGCUUUGAAGAUAUUCUUGCGGGAAUGUUGGAGCCAUCAGUGAGAUACCACUCUUGUAAUGUUAGAUUUCUAACUUUGUAUCAUUAUCUGGUCAAAGAACAGUUUCAGGCGGGCAGUUUGACUGGGGCGGUCGCCUCCUAAACGGUAACGGAGGCGCACAAAGGUUUCCUCUGAACGGGUAGAAAUCGUAUCUAGAGUGUAAAGGCAUAAGGAAGCUUGACUGUGAGACCUACAAGUCGAGCAGGGACGAAAGUCGGUCUUAGUGAUCUGACGGUGCUGAGUGGGAAGGCCGUCACUCAACGGAUAAAAGUUACUCUAGGAUAACAGGCUGAUCUCCCCCAAGAGUUCACAUCGACGGGGAGGUUUGGCACCUCGAUGUCGGCUCAUCGCAUCCUGGGGCGGUAGUACGUCCCAAGGGUUGGGCUGUUCGCCCAUGAAAGCGGUACGCGAGCUGGGUUCAGAACGUCGUGAGACAGUUCGGUCCAUAUCCGGUGUAGGCGUUAGAAUAUUGAGAGGAGCCUUCUCUAGUACGAGAGGACCGAGAAGGACACACCUCUGGUGUACCAGUUAUCGUGCCAACGGUAAACGCUGGGUAGCUAUGUGUGGAGCGGAUAACCGCUGAAAGCAUCUAAGUGGGAAGCCCACCUCAAGAUAAGUAUUCUC
rnacentral:rRNA from 1 species